GCUUUUCAUCGAGACAAGCUGUAAGCUUUUUUGAACUUGACAUUCGCUUUUAUUUUCAUUUCGUUCUAGUUUCUAAGUGCAAUGUCACAGAUAAAUGCGUCUGCUGCCAGCAGCUCUGUGUGGCAACAUGUAUAACAAAUAGAGCUUUUUCAAAAGCUCUGCGAGAUUACAAGCGUGAAGACGUUUUGCUUAGUGAAUUUUGUAAAAUGUUUCGGAAGAGUUGCUCAAAAGCUUAUUUAAGUUGACGAAUCCUAAAGCUUCCGAAGGCCUAUUUGAUAAUAAAUACCAGAGGUUUCUGUGUGACAGCCUUAUGGAGACGGUUGAGCCAGUUUAAUCAGUGGACUUACUUUUCCAAAACAUAAAGUCAAGCACCACCUUAAACUAAGUCGAAUAGCUUUAGAUUUCAUCAGAAUAUCAUACAAAUAUUUUUGUCAGCGGAAAUCAGCCUUAACAAUCGGUUAUAUGAGGAGUUUCAACCACGUUCUUCAAUGUGUUUCCUUCACUCUCUAUUAAUGAAUCUGAUUUUGGACUCCCAAAAUUAGGAGUUCGGUUCCGAGACGGUUUCUAAUAAGCAAAUAGUAGCUCUUUCAUAUCUUAACCUGGCAAAACGAAUUCUAAUUUUAAGAGAUUAUGCUUGAGACCGUCAACUUAAUAUUAUAUAGGAUUUUUAUAGGCUGAUCAGCAGACAAAUACCACGGAGAGCAAAGCAACGUUAACUAAACUUCCUAAAAUGUUUGGGCCUUGUAGAGUAUCGGAAAUUUUACCAACUGCGAGAUCUUUCAUGAGCAUAUUUAGAACCAUUGUUCAACUGACGAGGAGGGCUUCUCUUCCGAGGCUGUCUUUUUAUUUUCAUUGGGCGCGUUUUUUACGAAGCAGGUCCUAAACCCAGUUCUCUCUGGGUAGGGAUGGUUCGCCUUCUUACGUUAGCUUGCUUUCAAACGUAUGUUCUUUGGCAACACAGAGGAUACUUGAUCUAAGACCAGAAGUAGUGAGCUGUUUGAGGCACAUGUAGAAUAAUCGCUUCUGGCUAUACUCAAGUGAAUGGCAAUCAGAGAAAUUUUAUCACUUGCGUGACCUUCUACACAUGACUCCAUCCUCCUGGUAGUGAACGAAGACAAGACGAAAUAUCUCCUGUCAUCAAACAAACAGUCGUGGCACUCGCCACUUGGCUCCCACCUCACUGUUGACUGUCAUAACUUCGAAAUCGUAGAUAAUUUCGUCUAUCUUGGAACCAGCAUUAACGCCAACAACAACGUUAGCCUCAAAAUCCAACGUAGAAUAACUCUUCCCAACAGGUGCUACUUCCAACUGAGUAAGCAAUUGAGAAGUAAAGUCCUCUCUUGAAAGAACCAAACUCUAUAAGUCCCUAUAUGGUGCAGAGGCAUGGGGCGAUGACAACAGCUAAUGAGUCGAUGUUUCGAGUUUUUAAGGAAAAGAUUCUGCGAAAGAUUUAUGGUCCUUUGGGCAUUGACAACGGCGAAUACCGCAGUCGAUGGAACGAUGAGCUGUAUGAGAUAUACGACGACAUUGACAUAGUUCAGCGAACUAAAAGACAGCGGCUACAUUGGCUAGGUCAUGCCCUCUGAAUGGACGAAAACAUCCAGCUCGGAAAGUAUGCGACGCAGUACCCGCUGGGGGUAGACCUCCACUCCGUUGGAAGGACCAAGUGGAGAAGGACCUGGCUUCGCUUGGACUCAUCAUUAAAGAAGUUCAACUGAAAAAGUCUUAUUCGACUUUUUAGAAAGAAAUGUGUCUCGGAACGAUUCACCAGGAAGCAUUUGGCUACGAAAGAUUUAAGGUCAGAUUUUACUUUUUCAAGACACCGUAAUAUAGAUUUACGAAUGAGUUGAUUUUGUGGAAGAUUUCAAGAAAAUGCAGAACGGCAUUUCAGAAGAUCCGCACCACGAGUUCAUGAAUUUGGGUCCUGAAAGAUUUCAGAAAAAGCGGUGAUUACUCAAUCGGGGUUCAAGAAGGACCAAAUACUCUAUAAUACUCUUUCCGAUGAGUUUAACUAUGCCAGAACUUGACUAAAGAUCUUACUGACCUUGUAAAAAAAUAACAAGAGGUCGGUUUGGUCCCAGCAAACUGAAGGCAAGUUAGAAACUCCAAUAAUUUAAAGACAACGUUACGAGGCUACGUUUGUCUAUACAAAUUUUCAAACAGAGCGACUAUAUACUGACCCCCUCAUAUCUAUUAUACACUUUUAAUAAUCACACAUACACAUAUAUACAUACAUAUAUAGUAUAUUUCUAAAAAUACAUUGUUUGUAAACAAUUUAGCAAUUACUUAAGAAAGCCCAUGAAUAACAGAACGAACAAAAUCUCAACAAAAAUUCGCUUCUCGAAGGCAGAUUGCACUCAGCAGCUGAUAACCCUUGCAACGAUGCAGGCAAAUAAACAAAGUGUUUCACUUGCAUGUACAUACAUACUUAUACUCGUACAUAUAUUUGGAAAAAUAAACAAAUUCAGGCGCAGUGAAAUCAGACUUUACUUCGCGAUGUGGCAGGUCAGCGCUGGGGCGCGAAUGACUGUUGGGCAGACCGACUUGUCCACUGUCGCCAGCGUCAGCAUCAGCGCCGCUAAGCCCAGACAACCAGCAGCCAGGCAGGUAGCCAAUCGGACAAGCAGGCAGGCGAUGAGCUCAUGCUGCGGUCACGUAGAUGUGUGUAUAGAUGGCGCGACGCGCGAUAAGAAACGAUGAUCUAUGGUUGUUGUUGAAUGUCGGUGAGCGCUUGGUGUUGUGACACUCUACAGCGGCGAUGGCACCUGAGGUGGCCAAAUGCAAAACAACGCACACACUCACAAACACACAUGCAGGCAAGGAGCAUAUGAUGCACAAGCGACUUAUGAGUAUUUAUUCGUCUCAGCUGUUAUUGCUGUCAGCGGCCGAACGCAGCGCGAAAAAUUAUUACGAACAGCUACCGACGCUGUCUUCUACCGUUUUGGGUGCAUUUCGAUGGCAAAGCGGGCUGCUGUUUGAGCUGCGGUGCGCUGUUAGUGCGCGGCGGCGGCGUCGAUAAAUCAUAUUUUGUUUAUCGCGAAUUUUGAUUUUGAUGUCUUUGACGACGUUCUGGUUGCCGAUUGCGAAAAUUUUGGACAAUUUAAAGUUGAUUAAAGUAAGCUAGGUUGGGUUGUACAUAUGUAUUUCUAUUUGAAAAACUCUGAAAAAUAUUAAUUAUUUU